UGAGGAAUGUUUGGUGUAUGUGGUCCUGU
rnacentral:piRNA from 1 species